CUAAUUCUAAUCUAUGGAUUUUCUUUCUUUUUUUUUUUUUUAUUUGGAUCUUUUAAAGAAGAGAAUUCCUUUAUUCUUUCUUUGCAAUUACGUAUCCUUUUAAUAAUUUGUGUUUUGUUCUUUAUAUGAAACUUCAAGAUUGUUUAAUAUUCUACUUUUUGUAACCUAAUUGUUGGUGAAGAAUUAGGUAUGACAAUUAUUCCAAAUCCCUACCAAAGAAAAUAUUUGAAUUAACCUAAACAAUUAGAUGGAACGAUUAUAAGCAAAUAUUCGAGAAUUUCCUUUUUUCUUUGAUCAUUUUGGUUUAUAAGCAAAUACAUUGUCUCCUAUCAUGAUUUGGUAAUUAAGGAAAUAGAUGAUUUCUUCUAAGUUAUCAACAUUUCAAAAUUUAAUUAAAGAUUUUAUCAACAAAUUUGCUUCAUUAGAUUCAUAUCCUAUAGACCAUUCAUAUGUUUUAAGUUAGAUAAAAUCAAGUUGUACAUAUUAAUUUAACGGGGAGGGAUCAACUUACAUAAAAAAAUUUUAUAUUUUUUUAAUUAUUGAUUUUAAUAGAUUUAAGUGAUGAAAUUAAACUUUUGUUUUAUUUUUCACUAAUCUGUCUAAAUUUUUUUUAUAUAUUGAAAUCAAUAAUUUAAAAAAAAAAAAAGUAAAUCGAUUCCUCCAUAAAGAUUCCUCCCCAAAGUAAAUUAAAGAUUUUCUUUUUCACUUAUCUCUCUUAUCCCUUUUUAAUUUUACAUUAAUAUAAAUUGAUUCCUCCCAAAAUUUAAAACUUUUUUGUGUGUGUUUUGUUCUUUAUACGAAUCUAUUUUGCUUUUAUGACCUAAUUUUUGGUGAAAUGUUAGGGAAGACAAUUAUUCCAAAUCCCUAACAAAGAAAAUAUUUGAAGUAACCUAAAAAAUUGGUGUAAAGGAAACUUUACACGUGUCGAACAUAUCAAAUGUUCCCUUCCGAAAAAGGAUACUUGUCAUCUUUUAUUUCCAUCUUUAUCCUAAUUGCAGUUUCCCAGGCUCUUCUUUUAGUUGGGGAAUAGUUUCGGUAAUCCUAUGGAAUAUUCUAUGCAAUAAUGGCGGCAAAGAAACAUGCAAUUCACUUAUGACUUUGCAUCUAUUCGAAUAUUAUUAUAUUCGUAUGUACCAACAUUUAAUUUAAUAAAAAAUUCAUGUGUCUUUGAGAUAAAAACUUAAAUAAAGUUUUUAAGUGAAAUUCUUAAAAUUGUUUAAUAAAAAUGAUUCAAUUAAAAUUUUAAUAAAAAAAUUAUAAAUUAUAAAUCGAUAGAAUUUAAAGAAAAAAUCAAUAAU
rnacentral:lncRNA from 1 species